rnacentral:rRNA from 1 species
GGGUACGGGGUGUUAGGGCACGACACCGGAGAGGGAGCCUGAGAAACGGCUACCACAUCCAAGGAUGGCAGCAGGCGCGCAAAUUACCCAAUCCCGACACGGGGAGGUAGUGACAAUAAAUAACAAUACGGGGUUCUUUAGGAUCUCGUAAUUGGAAUGAGUACAAUUUAAAUCUCUUAACGAGGAACAAUUGGAGGGCAAGUCUGGUGCCAGCAGCCGCGGUAAUUCCAGCUCCAAUAGCGUAUAUUAAAGUUGUUGCAGUUAAAAAGCUCGUAGUUGAAUUUCGGGGUUAGUAGGUUGGUCAUGCCUCUGGUAUGUACUGGUCUCACUGAUUCCUCCUUCCUGAUGAACCUUAAUGCCAUUAAUUUGGUGUUUUGGGGAAUUUGGACUGUUACUUUGAAAAAAUUAGAGUGUUUAAAGCAAGCUAACGCUUGAAUACAUUAGCAUGGAAUAAUGAAAUAGGACGUUCGAUCCUAUUUUGUUGGUUUCUAGGAUUGACGUAAUGAUUAAUAGGGAUAGUUGGGGGCAUUAGUAUUCAAUUGUCAGAGGUGAAAUUCUUGGAUUUAUUGAAGACUAACUACUGCGAAAGCAUUUGCCAAGGAUGUUUUCAUUAAUCAAGAACGAAAGUUAGGGGAUCGAAGACGAUCAGAUACCGUCGUAGUCUUAACCAUAAACUAUGCCGACUAGGGAUCGGAUGAUGUUAAUUUUUUAAUGACUCAUUCGGCGCCUUACGGAACA